UGACAGUCUGUAAAAAUGUUUCAUUCAUUUUUUUUCCACUGUGUAGAUUUUUAGGUCUUUAUGUUGAUCUCAAAUUUUCCAUGCUAAUGUACAUAUCCUGAACAGUUAUGUUUAGUGAAUGAUUUUGGUUCAACUGGAGAAAUCUUUUGCAAGAGUCUUAGUUUUCCUCUCAAUUAAGACAUAAAUAAGCACAUUUAUAACUGAAUAAAUACAUAUUUUUAAGGAAUAAAGUCUAGUUUGUAUUUAUGGGGGCAUACAAAAGGUCCUCAACACGAACGACCUUACAUUUAUUCCUUAUUUUGUUUUGCAAUUUAUGUACAUAGUACUUAUCAAGUUGAAAAGGGCAAUGCUUUUACUAAAAAAACAAUAAUACUUUGCAAUUGCAUAGAUUUACUACCAAAAAUAAUGAAAAUAUGACUGAAUCCUGUAAAUAUUUAUCCUCUUACAACUCCCAGAUGUAUUAUAACUGAAUAUGCUUCUUGAAUCAUAAUUGAAUCCAGUAAGAUAUUUUCUUUCUGUGAUGACUUAGAUAUAUCAUUACCAGGGGCGGAUCCAGGAAUUGUGGUUACGGGGGGGGGGGGGGGGGGGGGGGGGGGGGGGGGGGGGGCGCGCACUUUAAGAGGCAGGGGGUCUGCUUGAGGUAAGGGACCAGGGGGCUUUGCCCCCGAAAGCUCCUGGAUUUUACAUAUUUUAUAGGGCUUGAAAUAUGUCUCCUAUUUAAGUCAUUUGUACUAUUUUCUACCAUUUCUAAUAAGGGCUGUUCCAGAAAUGAUCAAAUGGGGGGGUCGGGCGGCAAACGAAAUUUUUUUGUGUGGGUGGUCGUAUUUUUUCAUAUUUUAAUUGGUCCGUGGUUGGACUGUUAAAAAAAUAUUUAUUAUGGGUAGUGGGUAGUUUCUAUUGUUUUAUUUUGUGCCACGUGGGUGUUGAGUUUUCAGAAUAUUUUUAUUGUCGCUCUUGUCGUGUUGGUUACAAAACGUCGGAGGGAAAAUUGAAAACGUGCUUUCGAAAUGCUGCUUUCGAAAUCGGAAAUCGGAAGUAACAUAGAACUAUUCAAGUUGUAUUCCGUUUUCUAAUAAAAAUAGGCAAACCUUAGUUGACUUAUACGAGGAUACUGAUGCGUUAUAUUUAUCAGUCGGUGUGAUGGUGAUAUAGAGGCCUCCGGGCGCGGGCUCCAUUAGAAGACGAACGAUUCGUGGAAAAACAUAUCCAUACCCAUUUCAUGAUAAUAGCAUCGUUUGGACUCCCAAUCUUUCCAACAUUCCCGCCAUAGAUGCCUUUGAUUGUUGAUGUGACAUCGUUUCUUCAGAACUACUGUGAUACAAUGUCGCACAGGCAUUACCGCGUCAUUGACUAGAAUGUUUGUCCCGAAAACCUCGCGAGAUUUGUACCGUUUUCAUUUUUUAAAAUAUUUUUGUGGUGGGUCUGGUUAGUUUUUUUUUUUUUUAUUAGAUGGGUCAUUGUAAAAUGAGUUUAUUAAUUUGAUGGGUCAUGGGGUAAUUUUUUAUUUUUUUUUAUGGGUGCUUGGUAUAUACAAAAGGUGCCUCCCGACCCCCCCAUGUAUUUAUUUCUGGAAUAGCCCUAAGGUGAAAUUAGUAACAUGACGCAAAUUUUAAGGGUUUUAGGAAAAAAUUAAGCUCUCCCAAUUAAGUAAUUCAAGAAAUCAAAAGAUUUUGUCAUUUAUUUCUCCGAGAGUGGAAGAAAUUAUUGCUUCUUUUGUUUAGUACAUUUAUCUAAACAAGAUACCACGAUUUACCUUAAAUUUGACAAUUUUAGGGGGGGAAAGGGGGAAGCCCCCCCCCCCCCCC